GUUACUGGAUUGGACAGACUAUGUAGGGUUUUGUAUAUAGAGAUUGUAAGCUUCUUUAAUUCUAUGCUCCUCGAACUCCACAAAUUGGAAUUAUGAUGAUCAAGUUUCUCACAGCAAGUCAUGUGCUUUGCAGCCUUCUUUUUAAUUAUUAUAUAAUAUAUAUAUUUUAGUUUUAUAUUUAAAAAUAAAACCAUUUUAUAUAAUAAUAUAGUGUAAGAAAUAGUUUGUAUCCUCGAAUUUAACCAAAACAAACACGCAUGUUAUGAUAGUACCAUCAGCCCUUUUGUAUCUAUACGACUGCUCAUCUUUUGAGAAUAUUAUGUUUUUUCUUUUACAUAUUCCCCGCCGCUGCUUUUCUCUUAUUCAGCUCUCCUCUUCUUUCUUUCUUCUUUUUUCUUUUUUCUUCAUCUCUCAAUUCCCUUUUCUUUCUUUUAGAGUUGUGUGUUGGGUUUGGAAUUGAAACCCUAGUUUCUGAACUGGGUGCAUUACACCGAAGACAAAUGCCACAAAAAGAUCUUGGAUAUGGGAGUUUGGAGCAUGAAACUAUCAAAAUCAGCCUAGAAAAUAUUCUAGAGCCAAUUAGCUUUGUGAUGCAGCCACUCGGCUAUUCGUGUUAAUUGCCCGUUUUUGUUGAUUUCCGAGAAUUUUCACUAUUUUUGCCAAUCUCGUAUAUUUUCUGUUAUUUUUGAGUUAAUUAGUUUUAAGAGAGUUAUAAUAGCUUAGUUUUUAUCGUUUUUCUUUA